GAUGAACGCUGGCGGCGUGCCUAAUACAUGCAAGUCGAGCGAACGGACGAGAAGCUUGCUUCUCUGUUGUUAGCGGCGGACGUGUGAGUAACACGUGUAUACCCUCCCUAUCAGACUGGGAUAACUACGGAACACCGGCUCUAAUCCCGUAUGAUCUUUUGAACCGCAUGGUUCAAAAGUGAAAGACGGUCUUGCUGUCACUUCUCGCUGGAUCCGCGCUGCAUUAGCUAGUUGUUACGGUAACGGCUUACCAAGGCAACGAUGCAUAGCCGAACUGAGAGGGUGAUCGGCCACACUGGAACGGAGACACGGUCCAGAGUCCUACGGGAGGCAGCAGUAGGGAAUCUGCCGCAAUGGGCGAAAGCCUGACGGAGAAACGCCGAGUGAGUGAUGAAGGUCUUCGGAUCGUAAAACUCGGUUAUUAGGGAAGAACAUAUGUGUAAGUAACUGUGCACAUCUUGACGGUAAAUAAUCAGAAAGCCACGGCUAAAUACGUG
rnacentral:rRNA from 1 species